AUACGUAGGGGGCGAGCGUUGUCCGGAAUUAUUGGGCGUAAAGGGCGCGUAGGCGGUGACGACAGUCAGGUGAUAAAGGCACCGGCUCAACCGGUGUUUGGUACUUGAUACUACGUUGCUAGAGUGCAGGAGAGGAGAGCGGAAUUCCAGGUGUAGCGGUGAAAUGCGUAGAUAUCUGGAAGAACACCAGUGGCGAAGGCGGCUCUCUGGACUGUAACUGACGCUGAGGCGCGAAAGCUGGGGGAGCAAACAGGAUUAGAUACCCUGGUAGUCCCAGCCGUAAACGAUGAACACUAGGUGUAGGGGGUAUCGACCCCUCCUGUGCCGCAGUUAACGCAAUAAGUGUUCCGCCUGGGGAGUACGGCCGCAAGGUUGAA
rnacentral:rRNA from 1 species